GUGUCAGCAGCCGCGGUAAGACGAAGGGGGCUAGCGUUGUUCGGAAUUACUGGGCGUAAAGGGCGCGUAGGCGGUCUUGUCAGUCAGGCGUGAAAGCCCUGGGCUCAACCUGGGAGGUGCGCUUGAUACUGCAAGGCUUGAGUGCAGGAGAGGAUGGUGGAAUUCCCAGUGUAGAGGUGAAAUUCGUAGAUAUUGGGAAGAACACCGGUGGCGAAGGCGGCCAUCUGGACUGCAACUGACGCUGAGGCGCGAAAGCGUGGGGAGCAAACAGGAUUAGAAACCCCCGUAGUCC
rnacentral:rRNA from 1 species